ACGGAAGGCAGCAGUGGGGGAUAUUGCACAAUGGGGGAAACCCUGAUGCAGCGACGCCGCGUGAGUGAAGAAGUAUUUCGGUAUGUAAAGCUCUAUCAGCAAGGAAGAAAAUGACGGUACUUGACUAAGAAGCUCCGGCUAAAUACGUGCCAGCAGCCGCGGUAAUACGUAUGGAGCAAGCGUUAUCCGGAUUUACUGGGUGUAAAGGGAGCGUAGACGGCAAAGCAAGUCUGAAGUGAAAUCCCGGGGCUCAACCCCGGAACUGCUUUGGAAACUGUUUAGCUAGAGUGCAGGAGAGGUAAGCGGAAUUCCUAGUGUAGCGGUGAAAUGCGUAGAUAUCAGGAGGAACACCGGUGGCGAAGGCGGCUUACUGGACGGCAACUGACGUUGAGGCUCGAAGGCGUGGGGGGCAAACAGGAUUAGAUACCCUGGUA
rnacentral:rRNA from 1 species